AAAUGCUGAACUCUUUUUCAUGAGAAACUUCAAAAGGAGAAAAUAGGAAAACCUACUUAAUUAAAUAUUCAUGUUAUUUAUUUUAUUGAAAUGUUAAUUUACAUGUGGAACUCUCAACAACAAAAAAACUUAAAGUACUGAAUGAAUUUAAUAGGUUAAUAAAUGUUUUGGAAGAAAGCCCAUCUGGGAUGCUGCAUUUUUUGAAUAGCCUUGUAGAGGAGGCUGAAUCCUUAAGCUAUGAGAAGCAAUUGCUGUUUAAAACAGAGGUUAUGAAAUAUUUAUAUCUCAAGACAAAUGAUAUAUCAUCAGAACCUAUAUCAUCACAACCUG